GCAUAUCAAUAAGCGGAGGAAAAGAAACUAACAAGGAUUCCCCUAGUAACGGCGAGUGAAGCGGGAAAAGCUCAAGCUUAAAAUCUGUAGUUUUUCCUUUACAGGACUACCGAGUUGUAGCUUUUGGAAGCAGUUGUUUUCAUUCCUGGUAAAUUUUUGUGGUAAAAGUCUCUUUGAAUAGAGCAUCAAGGAGGGUGAAAAUCCCGUAUUUGACCAUAGUUACCAGGAAAUAAAACUAUAUAAGCUGUUUUCUGUGAGUCGGGUUGUUUGGGAAUGCAGCCCUAAUUGGGAGGUAAAUUUCUUCCAAAGCUAAAUAUAAGCAAGAGACCGAUAGCAUACAAGUACCGUGAGGGAAAGAUGAAAAGCACUUUGAAAAGAGAGUGAAAAGUACGUGAAAUUGUUGAAAGGGAACCUGUUAGUUUUUGCUAUAAUUUUUCCCUUAUUAAAGCUGGUUUGGUUUCGGCUUUGCCAGUUUUAUGGGAAGGGGUCAACAUCGGUUGCUAAUUCAACUGCCAGAAAGGAUUGUGCAGACUGGUAGAGUAAGGUAGAAAGAUAGGGUUUUUAUUAACUUUAUUUUUUGUUAUAGACUCUGUGAGUUUGCCUCAGCGCCUAGUGGUGGUGGCGACCGAGGAAUUCAGUGUGUUUUCGGGAGGGUUACCUCUCCUGGAUAGCCAGUUUUAGGCAAACCUUGUGGUGCUUUAUUCUAGACAGCUUGCUGACUAGUUUAACAGUAAUUUUCUGCUGGGGAUGUUUAGAUCUGGACCAAGUAACACUUUGGAUGUUGGCGUAAUGGCACUAAUAGACCCGUCUUGAAACACGGACC
rnacentral:rRNA from 1 species